rnacentral:lncRNA from 1 species
GGUUGUUGACAAAAUUUCUUGCAAGUGCUCUUGGCAAUUUUCUUAAUGGUAUAUAUAUCUGAAAUAUUAGAGAAUGGUCAGCUUCUGGGUAUGCUCGGAUAUGUCGACAAGCAUGCAACCAUGAUUUAAUCCAACUUUAUCGAUGCUUCCUUUUUAACUUACAUUCUUGCUCGUUUUGUAAUGAUUCUCUAACUUACACUCU